CCUACGGGAGGCUGCAGUGGGGAAUAUUGGACAAUGGGCGAAAGCCCGAUCCAGCCAUGCCGCGUGUGUGAAGAAGGCCUUCGGGUUGUAAAGCACUUUCAGUGGGGAAGAAAGCCUUGGGGCUAAUACCCUCGAGGAAGGACAUCACCCACAGAAGAAGCACCGGCUAACUCCGUGCCAGCAGCCGCGGUAAUACGGAGGGUGCGAGCGUUAAUCGGAAUUACUGGGCGUAAAGCGCGCGUAGGCGGUCUGAUAAGCCGGUUGUGAAAGCCCCGGGCUCAACCUGGGAACGGCAUCCGGAACUGUCAGGCUAGAGUGCAGGAGAGGAAGGUAGAAUUCCCGGUGUAGCGGUGAAAUGCGUAGAGAUCGGGAGGAAUACCAGUGGCGAAGGCGGCCUUCUGGACUGACACUGACGCUGAGGUGCGAAAGCGUGGGUAGCAAACAGGAUUAGAUACCCGGUAGUC
rnacentral:rRNA from 1 species